ensembl:lncRNA
AUCAUGGACAGUAGUACGCAUGCGCGACAUUAUAGACGGCAGUAUGCAUGCGCGAGUCGCGAGACGGCAGUACGCCCGCGCGAGGUUCGAGACGGCAGUACGCAUGUGCGACAUUACGGACGAUAGUACGCAUGCGCGAGGGUCGAGCCGGGAGUACGCAUGCGCGACAUUACGGACAGCAGUACGCUUGCGCGAGUUUCCAGACGGCAGUACGCAUGCGCGGCAUUACGGACAGCAGUACGCAUGCGCGAGUUCCGAGAGGGCAGUACGCAUGCGCGAGAUCAUGGACGGUAGUAUGCAUGCGCGAGUUUCCAGACGGCAGUACGCAUGCGCGAGCCCCGACACGGCAGUACGCGUGCGCGACAUCAUGGACGGCAGUACGCAUGCGCGAGCCGGGAUACGGCAGUACACAUGCGCGACAUUAUAGACGGUAGUACGCAUGCGCGAGACUGGAGACGGUAGUACGCAUGCGCCACAACAUAGACAGCAGUACGCAUGCGCGAGGUUCGAGACGGUAGUGCGCAUGCGCAAGGUUGGAGACGGCCGUACGCAUGCGCAAGCCUGGAGACGGUAGUACGCAUGCGCCACAGCAUAGACAGCACUACGCAUGCGCGAAUAUCGAGACGGCAGAACGCAUGCGCGACAUUAUGAUCGGCAUACGCAUGCGCGAGCCGGGAGACGGCAGUACGCAUGCGCGAGCCAAGAAACGGCAGUACGCACGCGCGACAUUUUAGACAGCAGUACGCAUGCGCGAUGGCACCAGAGACCGCCGCAACCUUUCCGACGCAGUUUUCCUGUUUGGACAUUAGGUGGCAGCAGAUACCGUGGAAACAACUCCUCCGCCGCCUUUUAGCGGACUGCCUGGGACCGUGGGCGCGCGCAUCCCCUUCUCUCUUUCUUUUCUUGGCAGAGGAUGGUGGGGGGAAGAAGGGGAGACGACAAAGAAAAGCAAGGAAAACUUCGACAAACCCCCCAACCCCGUGCUAAAUGCUUUGGUAUACCUGUAAAUAAAUGAAUACAUAACCAGCAA